rnacentral:rRNA from 1 species
CUUACGGGAGGCAGCAGCGGGGAAUAUUGCGCAAUGGGCGAAAGCAUGAUGCAGCAACGCCGCGUGAGGGAUGAAGGUCUUCGGAUUGUAAAGCUCUGUCUUUGGGGACGAUAAUGACGGUACCCAAGGAGGAAGCCACGGCUAACUACGUGCCAGCAGCCGCGGUAAU